rnacentral:rRNA from 1 species
CGAGUGGCGAACGGCUGAGUAACACGUGGAGAACCUGCCCCCUCCCCCGGGAUAGCCGCCCGAAAGGACGGGUAAUACCGGAUACCCCGGGGUGCCGCAUGGCACCCCGGCUAAAGCCCCGACGGGAGGGGAUGGCUCCGCGGCCCAUCAGGUAGACGGCGGGGUGACGGCCCACCGUGCCGACAACGGGUAGCCGGGUUGAGAGACCGACCGGCCAGAUUGGGACUGAGACACGGCCCAGACUCCUGCGGGAGGCAGCAGUGGGGAAUAUUGCACAAUGGGGGAAACCCUGAUGCAGCGACGCCGCGUGAGCGAAGAAGUAUUUCGGUAUGUAAAGCUCUAUCAGCAGGGAAGAAAAUGACGGUACCUGACUAAGAAGCACCGGCUAAAUACGUGCCAGCAGCCGCGGUAAUACGUAUGGUGCAAGCGUUAUCCGGAUUUACUGGGUGUAAAGGGAGCGUAGACGGCUGUGUAAGUCUGAAGUGAAAGCCCGGGGCUCAACCCCGGGACUGCUUUGGAAACUAUGCAGCUAGAGUGUCGGAGAGGUAAGUGGAAUUCCCAGUGUAGCGGUGAAAUGCGUAGAUAUUGGGAGGAACACCAGUGGCGAAGGCGGCUUACUGGACGAUGACUGACGUUGAGGCUCGAAAGCGUGGGGAGCAAACAGGAUUAGAUACCCUGGUAGUCCACGCCGUAAACGAUGACUACUAGGGGUCGGGGACCAAAGCUCUUCGGUGCCGCAGCAAACGCAAUAAGUAGUCCACCUGGGGAGUACGUUCGCAAGAAUGAAACUCAAAGGAAAUUGACGGGGACCCGCACAAGCGGUGGAGCAUGUGGUUUAAUUCGAAGCAACGCGAAGAACCUUACCUGCUCUUGACAUCCCGGUGACCGGCAUGUAAUGAUGCCUUUUCUUCGGAACACCGGUGACAGGUGGUGCAUGGUUGUCGUCAGCUCGUGUCGUGAGAUGUUGGGUUAAGUCCCGCAACGAGCGCAACCCUUAUCUUCAGUAGCCAGCAUUUUGGAUGGGCACUCUGGAGAGACUGCCAGGGAUAACCUGGAGGAAGGUGGGGAUGACGUCAAAUCAUCAUGCCCCUUAUGAGCAGGGCUACACACGUGCUACAAUGGCGUAAACAAAGGGAAGCGAGCCUGCGAGGGUAAGCAAAUCUCAAAAAUAACGUCUCAGUUCGGAUUGUAGUCUGCAACUCGACUACAUGAAGCUGGAAUCGCUAGUAAUCGCGAAUCAGCAUGUCGCGGUGAAUACGUUCCCGGGUCUUGCACACACCACCCGUCA